rnacentral:rRNA from 1 species
CCUACGGGAGGCAGCAGUGAGGAAUAUUGGUCAAUGGACGAGAGUCUGAACCAUCCAAGUAGCGUGAAGGAUGACUGCCCUAUGGGUUGUAAACUUCUUUUAUAUGGGAAUAAAAUGUUCCACGUGUGGGAUUUUGUAUGUAACAUAUGAAUAAGGAUCGGCUAACUCCGUGCCAGCAGCCGCGGUAAUACGGAGGAUCCGAGCGUUAUCCGGAUUUAUUGGGUUUAAAGGGAGCGUAGGUGGAUUGUUAAGUCAGUUGUGAAAGUUUGCGGCUCAACCGUAAAAUUGCAGUUGAAACUGGCAGUCUUGAGUACAGUAGAGGUGGGCGGAAUUCGUGGUGUAGCGGUGAAAUGCUUAGAUAUCACGAAGAACUCCGAUUGCGAAGGCAGCUCACUGGACUGCAACUGACACUGAGGCUCGAAAGUGUGGGUAUCGAACAGGAUUAGAUACCCUUGUAGUC